GGGGGGGGGGGGGGGGGGGGGGUGCGGGGGCGGGGCGGGGGGGGGGGCGGGGUUCGGGCUGGCGGCGGGUGGCGAACGGGUGGGGAGUGUAUCGGAGCGGGCCCAGUGGCGGGGGGUAACUACGCGAAGGCGUAGCUAAUACCGCAUACGCCCUACGGGGGCAAGCAGGGGAUCGUAAGACCUUGCACGAUUGGAGCGGCCGAUAUCGGAUUAGCUAGUUGGUGAGGUAACGGCUCACCAAGGCGACGGACCGUAGCUGGUUUGAGAGGACGACCAGCCACACUGGGACUGAGACACGGCCCAGACUCCUACGGGAGGCAGCAGUGGGGAAUUUUGGACAAUGGGGGCAACCCUGAUCCAGCCAUCCCGCGUGUGCGAUGAAGGCCUUCGGGUUGUAAAGCACUUUUGGCAGGAAAGAAACGUCGCGGGCUAAUACCCCGUGGAACUGACGGUACCUGCAGAAUAAGCACCGGCUAACUACGUG
rnacentral:rRNA from 1 species